UACAGAGGGGGCAAGCGUUGUCCGGAUUUACUGGGCGUACAGCGCGCGCAGGCGGCUACGUAUGUGACCGGUGACAUCCUCGGGCUCAACCCGAGGCGGCCCGGUUAGACAGCGUGGCUGGAGGCAGGGGGAGGGAUGUGGAAUACCCGGUGGAGCGGUGAAAUGCGUAGAGAUCGGGUGGAACACCAGCGGCGAAAGCGGCGACCUGGACAGGCACUGACACUCAACUACGAAAGCGUGGGGAGCAAACAGG
rnacentral:rRNA from 1 species